rnacentral:rRNA from 1 species
UACGGGAGGCAGCAGUGGGGAAUAUUGCACAAUGGGCGAAAGCCUGAUGCAGCUAUGCCGCGUGUAUGAAGAAGGCCUUAGGGUUGUAAAGUACUUUCAUCGGGGAGGAAAAACAAAACUAAUAAUUUUAUUUCUUGACGUUACCCGAAAAAGAAGCACCGGCUAACUCCGUGCCAGCAGCCGCGGUAAUACGGAGGGUGCUAGCGUUAAUCAGAAUUACUGGGCGUAAAGAGCACGUAGGUGGUUUUUUUAAAGUCAGAUGUGAAAUCCCUGGGCUUAACCUGGAACUGCAUUUUGAAACUGAAAUACUAGAGUAUCGUAGAGGGAGGUAGAAUUCUAGGUGUAGCGGUGAAAUGCGUAGAUAUCUGGAGGAAUACCUGUGGCGAAAGCGGCCUCCUAAACGAAUACUGACACUGAGGUGCGAAAGCGUGGGGAGCAAACAGGGAUUAGGAUACC